GAAAUAUUUUCAAAUAUGGUAAGAAAACGAAGCAGCAUUACAGUUGCACUGUCUAACGGAGAUUGUCUUGGAGAAGCUUCAAAUUUUUAGUUUUCCUUUGCAAGGAUUGAGAAAAUUUUGUUGUGAUUUCUCCUCACAAGACAAGAUUAUCAAAUAGAAAGUCCACCUUGAGUUGCACAUGGUCAUUAUCAAGACCUAUUGGAUUUUGUUGAAGCCGCACCCUUGUUCUUGUUGGCAAUUGUUACUGAAGGAGCCCUUAGAGCCACAUUAAAGUUCUUGUUCCUUUUGGUUGAUUCAGGAAAAUGUCUAAGUGAUAUCAGCCUCAGCCUUACCUGAUUUGCUAAAAUCAAUUGUUGAUAGUGCUGAGUACUGAGUUUGAUUUCUCACUACCAAUAAAGGUUGACUUUUGCCUGUUUGAUUGUCACAAUUAUUGCCGAUAAAAGGUAAAUGGUUUCAUAGGCAGAAGGCUAAUUCCUGAACUCUGGUGGUUGAACGGGGGAUUUUGAUUAAGUUCACCAUGGUUGCUACAAAAAGACGGCAAGAAUUUCAUUCUCUCUCUCUGUCUUUGGUUGAUUCGGGAUAAUCCGACUUUUGUGAUUGGGUUGAGCUAAGAAGUCCUUGCUUUCUUGUGUUAAUUGCAGUAGAAGACUCCAUGGGGUAUUAGCAAUAGGCUUGUCUGGCUUUGAAGAGUGGCAAAUACACCAUCUGGUAUAAAACUGUCCUCAAAACUCUUAGAAAGUGUCGAAACCCACUGGGUGCAAACAAUUUCUGAGGGCCAUCGGACUGGGUAAAACCUGAAUUAACCGUGGUGCACUUGCGGGAAACUCCUUGCCGAGGGCCUGUGCACCCCCGGGAUUAGUCGGGGCUCAAAGAGACUCGGACACCCGGUGCAAAUCAAAAAAAAAAA